CUUGUUUGUGUAAACCGUAGUCUUAGUUUUCACACUUGCAGUAAUCAGCUCACCCAUCGCAUUCAUGGAUACAGAGCACCUGGAUACAAUGACCACAGUCAAAGAAAGAAUUUAAGCUAGAAAGGUGAAAGUUGAUAUGAAUGGUUUGCGUAGGCUCUUUGGGAAAGGAAAUGAGCCACCAGUGUCUGUUUCAGAAAACAGAAAACACCCCCCAUCAUCACUCCUUAAGCUCCACUGCUUCUUCAGGGGCUUUCCUAUCCAGCACGUACAGUAAUAGCUGCUCGUGUGCAAGCCACAGAGUCUGCACAUGCUCUGUUGCUGCUGUUUCUUAUGCAAGUGAUCCCUCCGAUGGGGCCUCGUCCCUCUCACGCAUCCCAAGAGCAGAGUC